rnacentral:rRNA from 1 species
GAUGAACGCUGGCGGCGUGCCUAAUACAUGCAAGUCGAGCGAACAGACGAGGAGCUUGCUCCUCUGACGUUAGCGGCGGACGGGUGAGUAACACGUGGAUAACCUACCUAUAAGACUGGGAUAACUUCGGGAAACCGGAGCUAAUACCGGAUAACAUGUUGAACCGCAUGGUUCAACAGUGAAAGACGGUCUUGCUGUCACUUAUAGAUGGAUCCGCGCCGCAUUAGCUAGUUGGUAAGGUAACGGCUUACCAAGGCAACGAUGCGUAGCCGACCUGAGAGGGUGAUCGGCCACACUGGAACUGAGACACGGUCCAGACUCCUACGGGAGGCAGCAGUAGGGAAUCUUCCGCAAUGGGCGAAAGCCUGACGGAGCAACGCCGCGUGAGUGAAGAAGGUCUUCGGAUCGUAAAACUCUGUUAUAAGGGAAGAACAAAUGUGUAAGUAACUAUGCACGUCUUGACGGUACCUAAUCAGAAAGCCACGGCUAACUACGUG